rnacentral:lncRNA from 10 species
AGACAACCUCCAGAGCAGGGCAGCAGGCAGCUGCUAGAGAUUUAUUUCUCCACUUAGUCGUCUCCGCUUGCGGCUUCCUCCCAUGAGUGAGGACCAAGAGAAGCCCCCUGUCUCUGAUGAAAGUGGGGGAUGAACACUGAACCAAACCCACACUGCUCAGCACAUUUGAUGCGGCCAGAAACAGACUGCAAAGGCUGAGAAAGCUUUUCAGGGGCCGUCUGGCUGUGUGGGUGCGAAGACCUGGCUGUACUUGGAAUCACCUGGGAAGACUUACAAAAAUGGUUUCCGAGCCUCACCCGCAAGGAUUCUGACUUGGUAAAUGAAAACUUGGAAAGAUAAACCUCAGAUAAGGGGGGACUACUGUAUUCAUUCCUUCACCAUGGCAUGUCUGUGUCUGAGAAUCUACCCUUAAAAACAAUCUGGAUGCAAAGAAGCCGUAAGAUAGAGCGCAGUCCCUUCAUUUCAUAAAAGAAUGAAACUAACUCAAAUACACAAUGCAAUGGGUGAGUAAAGUAUUGCACUACCCUUAAUGUAAUAUUGUGGGGCCACUGAAAACAUGCUCACAUGUUUAUGGAAAUCUGAGAAGUGUUUCUAUCUAUGGCAUUUCAUCACAUUUAAGACACUGUUGAUUAGAGAACACACCACCAUUUCACGUACCUUUAAGGAAGAAAAAAAUACCCAGAAUGGUUAUUUAAUAAGGGACGUCUAAGUAAAGCUGGGAUCCUAAAGGGCUAUUUCUUUGGUGGGAGGAGAAUGAUAAACAGCCUCGUCAGGCAGAAAGAGCCAGUGUCCCAGCCAUGGACCCGGAUGCAGGGAGGGAACAAAACUGCCCCUGAGGACGUGCACAAGCCAGUACUCAUGCUGGUUUGAGUCUGAAUUUGCACAAACAUAUGGUCUGGAAACACCUCAAGCAAAUGCUGUAACUGAAUUUAAGUUUAAGGUUAUGUCAAGUUGGCAGUGCCCCCAGGUGACUGGCAGAAACAAAUACAACCACCUCUAGAAAGAACUGAAUGUUAACACCAGCUGACAGUGCCUGUAAAACAUCAGCCACUGUACAGUGCAAGAUCCAGAGACGUUAAAAUGUGAAGUGAGUUUUAGAAUUAACCAUAAGUAAAAAAGCAGAAUCAAAUGGGUAUGUGGAGGAUGACAUCUCUUUGCCGAGUAGACCGACUGGAAGGAAAAACACAGUAAAAUGUUCACAGUGAUCUUCUGUAGGUGCUAAGACUACAGCAUUUUCUUUCUUUAAACGAGUCUGCGUUUUCCAGCUUUUUCUAAAGUGACCAUAUAAAAAAAGGAGAAAUAAGGAGACGCAAGUGAGAGAAUGACUUUGGGUGGGGUAGUCAAGGAGGUGACCCUGAAGGAGGUGACACCUGAACUGAGAAGGGACCAGCACAGGAGAAGCCACCUGAAGAGUUCAUUGCUACAUGUGUAUCCAGGACAAGGACCUGGGGCACAGGGAAGAUGCUUGAUAUGUAUUUGUUAAAUGAAUACACGGGUUAAGGAAGGAAAAAGCUGCUAAAACAGGAGCCUAAGUCUCAAGGGGUCCCAGCCAGAGUCUGGCUCUUCAGGGAGCCAUUCUCACUGGACUGAGCUGAUAAACAGGGCAGGGACGCCCACCUGGCCAACAGCAGGGCCCUGUGGAAAGUAUGCAGCUGCAGAGUUAGCAGAGAACCAUGGUUGUGGGUCUUGGGCCUGUUUCCCCAUCUGUCAAAUGAGGUUAGUGCUUUGCCACCUCUGUCU